AUUGAACGCUGGCGGCAGGCCUAACACAUGCAAGUCGAACGAAUGGCGGACGGGUGAGUAAUGUCUGGGAAACUGGCUGAUCGAGCGGGCUAACGACUGGAAAAGUUAGCUAAUACUGCAUCCCAUGGUAUGUGCCCAGCUGGGAUUAGCUAGUAGGUGGGGUAAAGGCUCACCUAGGGGACGAUCCCUAGCUGGUCUGAGAGGAUGACCAGCCACACUGGAACUGAGACACGGUCCAGACUCCUACGGGAGGCAGCAGUGGGGAAUAUUGCACAAUGGGCGCAAGCCUGAUGCAGCCAUGCCGCGUGUAUGAAGAAGGCCUUCGGGUUGUAAAGUACUUUCAGCGGGGAGGCGUUACCCGCAGAAGAAGCACCGGCUAACUCCGUGCCAGCAGCCGCGGUAAUUC
rnacentral:rRNA from 1 species